UAUCUCUGUAGAGUCUGCAUAUCAAUAAGCGGAGGAAAAGAAACUAACAAGGAUUCCCUUAGUAACGGCGAGUGAAGCGGGAAGAGCUCAAAUUUGAAAUCUUCAAGGUUCUACCUUGACGAAUUGUAGUUUAUAGAAGUGUUUUCUGUUAGUGGAGUGGCAAAAGUUCUUUGGAAUAGGACAUCAUAGAGGGUGAGAAUCCCGUAUUUGACCAUUACUUCCAGCGUUGUGAUACACUUUCAAAGAGUCGGAUUGUUUGGGAAUGCAGUCCAAAAUGGGUGGUAAAUUUCAUCUAAAGCUAAAUAUUGGCGAGAGACCGAUAGCGAACAAGUACCGUGAGGGAAAGAUGAAAAGAACUUUGAAAAGAGAGUUAAACAGUACGUGAAAUUGUCAAAAGGGAAGCGUUUGACACCAGUGUUGUUUUCUCGAAAAUCAAUUAAAAAGUCUGGAUUUUGUAUUGUAAUUGACCUUUAUCAGCUUUACUGCUACUUUUUUCUUAUUCUUUUUAAUGCACUUUUCGUUUAACAAGUCAACAUCAAUUUCUUUUGUUGUAAAAGAGUCAUUGGAAGGUGGCUUUCACUUCGGUGAAAGUGUUUAUAGCCUUUGACUUCUGCAAUCGGAGAGAUUGAGGUCUGCAGCGUAGAUCCUUCGGGGUUAGAUACGUUAGAUGCUAAGUUAUAGUUUUUCAUAGACAACAUGUUGACUAUGAUUAAUCAUGUAGCUUACUCGCUUAUGGCUAUUUUACCUACGCUUAGGAUGUUGAUGUGAUACUGCGAGC
rnacentral:rRNA from 1 species